rnacentral:rRNA from 1 species
CCCUCCCUCUUUCCUCCUGCCUAACACAUGCAAGUCGAACGAGACCUUCGGGUCUAGUGGCGCACGGGUGCGUAACGCGUGGGAACCUGCCCUUAGGUUCGGACUAACUCCCCGAAAGGGGUGCUAAUACCGGAUAAUGUCUUCGGACCAAAGAUUUAUCGCCUUUGGAUGGGCCCGCGUUGGAUUAGCUAGUUGGUAGGGUAAAAGCCUACCAAGGCGACGAUCCAUAGCUGGUCUGAGAGGAUGAUCAGCCACACUGGGACUGAGACACGGCCCAGACGCCUACGGGAGGCAGCAGUGGGGAAUAUUGGACAAUGGGCGAAAGACUGAUCCAGCAAUGCCGCGUGAGUGAUGAAGGCCUUAGGGUUGUAAAGCUCUUUUAACCGGGAUGAUAAUGACAGUACCGGGAGAAUAAGGUCCGGCUAACUCCGUG